rnacentral:rRNA from 1 species
AUUGAACGCUGGCGGCAUGCCUUACACAUGCAAGUCGAACGGAUUAAGGGGCUUGCUCCUUAGUUAGUGGCGAACGGGUGAGUAAAGCAUCGGAACGUACCCAGUUGUGGGGGAUAACGUAGCGAAAGUUACGCUAAUACCGCAUACGCACUGAGGUGGAAAGCGGGGGACCGAAAGGCCUCGCGCAAUUGGAGCGGCCGAUGUCGGAUUAGCUAGUUGGUGGGGUAAAGGCCUACCAAGGCGACGAUCCGUAGCUGGUCUGAGAGGACGACCAGCCACACUGGAACUGAGACACGGUCCAG